UACAGAGGGUGCGAGCGUUGUCCGGAAUCACUGGGCGUAAAGGGCGCGUAGGUGGCGACCCAAGUCGAUGGUGAAAGCUCGCCGCUCAACGGCGAGUCGGCCACCGAUACUGGGUUGCUGGAGCACUGUAGAGGCUCAUGGAAUUCCGGGUGUAGCAGUGAAAUGCGUAGAGAUCAUGAGGAAGACCAGUGGCGAAGGCGGGUCUCUGGACAGUUCCUG
rnacentral:rRNA from 1 species